GACGAACGCUGGCGGCGUGCUUAACACAUGCAAGUCGAACGGAAAGGCCCUGCUUUUGUGGGGUGCUCGAGUGGCGAACGGGUGAGUAACACGUGAGUAACCUGCCCUUGACUUUGGGAUAACUUCAGGAAACUGGGGCUAAUACCGGAUAGGAGCUCCUGCUGCAUGGUGGGGGUUGGAAAGUUUCGGCGGUUGGGGAUGGACUCGCGGCUUAUCAGCUUGUUGGUGGGGUAGUGGCUUACCAAGGCUUUGACGGGUAGCCGGCCUGAGAGGGUGACCGGCCACAUUGGGACUGAGAUACGGCCCAGACUCCUACGGGAGGCAGCAGUGGGGAAUAUUGCACAAUGGGCGGAAGCCUGAUGCAGCAACGCCGCGUGCGGGUUGACGGCCUUCGGGUUGUAAACCGUUUUCGCCUGUGACGAAGCGUGAGUGACGGUAAUGGGUAAAGAAGCACCGGCUAACUACGUG
rnacentral:rRNA from 1 species